rnacentral:tRNA from 1 species
GUCUCUGUAGCGCAAUGUACAGCGCGUUGGACUUCCACUCCGAAGGUCGUGGAUUCGAAUCCCACCUGGGGUG